GGGUUGGUAGCUCAGCGGAUAAGAGUAUAUGGUUCCGAACCAUAGAGCCAAGGGUUCGAAUCCCUUCUAGCCCG
rnacentral:tRNA from 1 species